rnacentral:rRNA from 1 species
GACGAAAGCUGGCGGCGUGCUUAACACAUGCAAGUCGAGCGGAGCGGCGAACGGGUGAGUAACGCGUGAGUAACUGCCCCCCUAUCUGGGAUAAAAGUUGGAAACGGCUGCUAAUACCGGAUAGUGGGGGAUGACUCGCGUACAAUCAGCUUGUUGGUGGGGUAGUGGCCUACCAAGGCGACGACGGGGAGCCGGCCUGAGAGGGCGACCGGCCACAUGGGGCUGUGAUACGGCCCAAACUCCUACGGGAGUCAUCAGUGGGGAAUAUUGCACAAUGGGGGAAACCCUGAUGCAGCAACGCGCGGGCGGGAUGACGGCCUUCGGGUUGUAAACCGCUUUCAGCCAUGACGCGGUAGUGGCAGAAGAAGCACCGGCUAACUACGUGCCAGCAGCCGCGGUAAGUC